GACGAACGCUGGCGGCGUGCUUAACACAUGCAAGUCGAACGGAAAGGCCUGCUUUUGUUGGGGUCCCGGAGUGCCAACGGGGUGAUUAACCCUGAGUUACCCUCCCCUGACCUUUGGGUUAACUUAGGGAACUGGGGCUUAUUCCGGAUUGGGACCUCCUCCUGCUUGGUGGGGGUUGGAAAUUUCGGCGGUUGGGGGUGGACUCGCGGCUUAUCAGCUUGUUGGUGGGGUAGUGGCUUACCAAGGCUUUGACGGGUAGCCGGCCUGAGAGGGUGACCGGCCACAUUGGGACUGAGAUACGGCCCAGACUCCUACGGGAGGCAGCAGUGGGGAAUAUUGCACAAUGGGCGGAAGCCUGAUGCAGCAACGCCGCGUGCGGGAUGACGGCCUUCGGGUUGUAAACCGCUUUCGCCUGUGACGAAGCGUGAGUGACGGUAAUGGGUAAAGAAGCACCGGCUAACUACGUG
rnacentral:rRNA from 1 species